CCUACGGGAGGCUGCAGUAGGGAAUCUUCCGCAAUGGACGAAAGUCUGACGGAGCAACGCCGCGUGAGCGAAGAAGGUCUUCGGAUCGUAAAGCUCUGUUGUUAGGGAAGAACAAGUACGGGAGGAAAUGACCGUACCUUGACGGUACCUAACGAGGAAGCCACGGCUAACUACGUGCCAGCAGCCGCGGUAAUACGUAGGUGGCAAGCGUUGUCCGGAAUUAUUGGGCGUAAAGCGCGCGCGGGCGGUCUUUUAAGUCUGAUGUGAAAUCUUGCGGCUCAACCGCAAGCGGUCAUUGGAAACUGGGGGCCUUGAGGGAGGAAGGGGAAAGCGGAAUUCCAGGUGUGGCGGUGAAUGGGGUAGGGAGGGGGAGGAACACCGGGGGCGAAGGCGGUUUUCUGGUCUGUAACGGACGCGGGGGCGCAAAAGCGUGGGGGGCAACAGGAUUAGAUACCCGUGUAGUC
rnacentral:rRNA from 1 species